AACACGACAUACAUAGAUUUGAAUAAUUAAGUUUACACCUUUAUUACAGACGACGCUGCAAUACUAGCAGCUAGGCACUGUGGAGAUGUAGCUAGAGUAGAGAACAUGCAAGGUGGCAUGAGCCGAUGAACGACGACUGAUACAUUACAUAGACAUGCAUUAUGCGCCCCCAUACGCUGCGACGAUGGACCCCUGACGCUAUGUCAGUGAUGAACGAUCACUGACCUGUGUUAUUAGCAACCACAUCACCUCGUGCGAUAACGUUAAUAACGUCAGAGGAACCACUUCAUCCCUUAUGCCGACAAGAGGCCAGCAUAUUU
rnacentral:lncRNA from 1 species